rnacentral:rRNA from 1 species
UACGGAGGGAGCUAGCGUUGUUCGGAAUUACUGGGCGUAAAGCGCACGUAGGCGGCUUUGUAAGUUAGAGGUGAAAGCCCGGAGCUCAACUCCGGAACUGCCUUUAAGACUGCAUCGCUUGAAUCCAGGAGAGGUGAGUGGAAUUCCGAGUGUAGAGGUGAAAUUCGUAGAUAUUCGGAAGAACACCAGUGGCGAAGGCGGCUCACUGGACU